rnacentral:lncRNA from 1 species
UUGUGUUUGAGUUAGGGUUUCUGCACCAGAGCCAAGAUUCGUUUCCGGAUGGAGAAGGAUUAUUAUUUCUAUUAGUAGUAGUGGCGUCUUGGCGGCUUCCUCCUCCGUCUACUCCUGCGCCGUUGCCUAGAGAGAAAAAGCCUGCCAUAGUUGGACACAACCAGCCAUAUAUUACCAAAUUUCAAGGGCUUUUCUUUUCCCACUUAAUCAACACUCCCACAUGUCUUCUAAUCUUUCCACAAGAAGAAACGAUCAAUUGAUAAGGAAGAUGAUGAUAUUAUGUUAUCUCUCUCAGGCUGGAGUGAAUAGAAGAAGAGAUUAAUGCAAGGAAUGUAGAGUAGCUGUAGGGUUUGUUUUAGAAAUCGAAUAAAGCUUUUGGAACUGUGAAAGUUGGAUUGUCGGUAUAGAGAGUAUUUAAGAGAGAUUCGAGCGAUCAGAGAGUUUUGUUUCUCUUCUGUCUCGCGCUCCGCAACGCCGCCAUGUCUUAAUGCUCCUCUCUGACUCUUUCAAGAAGAAAAAAAGCAAUUAACUUUUUCUAAAGAGGAUUUGGAAGACAAGGUGCGAGGUUGUACGGAGGAAAUCUCGGUAUCAAAUCAGCUGAAAUCUGGUGGGUUUAGGGUCUAGUGGAGUUAAUUAUGGGACCAAUUACAUAUAUUUGUAUGUUAUUAGUGUAAAAUCACAAAUAACGUGAUUUGUAUAUAUCUUUUGGACAGUCUUCACAUGCAUCCCCAUGCACCAUUUAUUUAUUAUUAACAAAAUCCACUAGAAUAUAUUUGCGAAGUGAUUUUACCACAUAUCCUAUUUACAAUAAUUUUUACAAAAAAAAAUGAUGACAUGGCUCACAAAAUUGAUGACAUGACUUAUAGUUAAUAUAUCUCUUUCCCCUCUUCUUAAAUUCUCUCUCUCUCUCUCUCUCUUCUUUUUUGUUUGUUUUCAACAAGCACUCAUCGCCCAAAAUAUAUCUAUACCGUUGAUCAUCAAGUGUUCACAAUCCAGCGGUGCCUAUGCUGCCACGUAUGCACCUUCGGUCUUUUCCACCGGAAAACACGCUCCCUCUUACCUUUUUUUUUGUUUGUGUUUUAAAGAAUCUCUACUAAUAAUGUUGGUAUUGUUUUCUUUAUAUAUACUCUCUAUAAUUCUUAAUUUACAUUUUCAAAUCAUGUAUUUUAAUCAAAGCUGGGAGCUGAGUGCCGAUGAGGAACGCCGGCAAUACCCGCAUAUAUAGUUGUGUUUUUUUUAUAGAUUCGCUGGUUAUGGUUUCAGUUCAUCUGUGGCUUAAAUUAUCCUGUAUUGGUUGGAUAGUGCACCUGUGGCUUUAAUUAAACGCGUAAAGGUUGCAGAUGGUAAGCAGAUGCUUACUCACUCAUGUUUCCAAGGAUGCAAAUUACUACUACUAUUAUUUAUAUACAGAAAGAAAUUAAAUAAUCAACGUUAAGUUCUCAAUUAUUUGUGCUGUGUGUACUAUAUGUUUAUAUAUCUAUAUUGUAUAGAUUGUUUAAUGUAGAGUCUAUACAGUGUACACACAUGCACAAAUACAAUUACUGUAGAACUUCUAUAAAUUAAUAAAUUUUGUUGGUCCUAAUUUGGACCGGUUCAAAAUUUAACACAAAUCGAAAAAUAAUAAGAUAAUAUUUUUAAAAAAAAUAUAUGUAAAAAUAUGGUCCAUUAAAAUUAUAAAUUAAUAAUUUAUAUGCACACAUAUUUUAUAUAAAUAAAAACCUAUUAUUAUAUUGUUUGUUUUAUAUUCACAAAUGAAUUAUCUUUAAAUUUUCUUAACACUUAAUAUAUUUUUGAUGAGAUUUAGUAAUAUUAUAUCUAAAACAACAUUUAAGUUCUAUGCAAUAUAUAUUAUAUAUACUAAAUAAUAUAAUAUAAUUAAUAUAAAAGACAAAUUUGAAAAAAUAACAAUUAAUGUCUAUACAAUAAAAUCAAAUAUUUUUCUUAUCUUAGAAUAAAUAUAUCUUAAAAUAAGAAAUCUAAAUAAAGAAACUUUUAUAAAUUAAUAUCUAUAUAAAUUAAUAAAAUUUCAAAGUCCCAACAUUAUUAAUUUAUAGAUGUUCUACUGUAUAUCGUUUCUCCCGUGGCCCGUUUUGGUCUUAAUCAUUAUUAUACUAGUAUACAAGUAAAUGACGAGUAAAGAUAGAACUUGGAUAUCUAAGCUAAAAAAUAUUAAUUUUUUUAUCAAACUUUAUUAGAUAAAAUUAUAACUUAAAUAAAACAAAUCAAAAACAAUGAAAAAUUAGAUGUAUUGGGUUUCAUGGGAUGAUAGGACUAAACCUAAAUCUGGAGGAGGAUUGAGUUUAAGAGAUAUACAACUGUUUAAUCAGGCUUUGUUGGCUAAACAAGCUUGGAGACUUCUAACAAACCCGAGGAGCUUACUAGCAAUAAUUCUCUUAGGAAAGUAUUGUCAGAAACAAUUCCUUCUACAAGUUGAAGCCCCAACGGCAUGCUCACAUGCAUGGAGGAGCAUUCUACACGGCAUAGAUCUACUAAGAGGUCACAUUGGGAAAGCUAUUGACAAUGUACAAACCACUAGAGUAUGGCAGGACUCUUGAAUGUCUCUCACGGAACAUAUUAAACCGUAUGGUCCUAUACCGGAAGCACAAGACCUAACAGUAGCAGACCUCCUCACUGAUGAUUUGAGAUGGAACACAAAAAGGAUUGAAAAGUGUUACCUCAGUUCUCGAAGCAAAUGGUUAGCAAGAGAAUGGAACUUUGCCCAAAGAUUAAUGAAGCAUGAGCAAAAAAGCUUACCCGGAGGAAUCAACUAUAGAAAGCCACAACAAUCAGGACACACAUCCGUGAUAUGUCGCUCCGAUGCGGCUUGGGAACAAUCAGCGAUCAAAGCUGGAUUAGCGUGGAUCAUAUCAGGAACUUCAAACACAAUCAUAAGGCAAGGAUCAACUACCCAGGAGUUUGUUAACUCUCCGAUCGUCGCUGAAGCACUGGCUCUCCGACUCGAAAUCAUCGCAGCAGUGAAUCUAGGUAUUCCAAAGAUCAAGAUGCUCUCUGACAAUUCAACGCUCAUCAGAGUAAUCAACAACGACACAUAGAGCAAAAAGAUUUUUGGAAUUAUAAAAGAUAUCCAACAAAUCUCAUCUGUGUUCGUCGAUAUCUCUUUCGUAUAUCUUCCUCGGCUUCAAAACGUUAAAGUCGAUUCGUUAGCUAAAAGAUCCCUAAGGGGUCUGUCUGUAAUUGCCCCGUCGGGCUAAGUUUAUUGGGCAUGAAGCCUGCACUUUUAUGCUUUAAUAUUAUAAUUGAGUUGAAAAAAAAAACAUGUCGUAAGAAAUUCAGUUUUAAGAUACUUUCGUUUCUUCUCUUACUUUUUUAAUAAUAUAAUAGUGGUUAGAAACUCAUCCUCAUCCCAUCGUUAAUGAUGCUCUUAGUAGUAUGUUUUGAUUGCUUGAGAAUUAUACAGAAUAUGGAUGACAGCUAGAGGAUUGGGAGAGUUGACUAAUAUGAAGAGGUAUAAUUUAAGUCAUUCCUGUUAGAAAUGCCACAGCUGUGCGUGAGAAAAAAAAAUGUGUAUCGAAAGAAAAGCGAGAGAGUGAAACUGCAAUUCUGAUGUAGUAUUUGCUACUCCAUGCGUUUCAUAAAGAUUCAAAUUCUAGAAAAAAAAUUGUUUUAAAAAGAUAUAUUUUUAUCUUUUCAAUGUAUUAUUUAAUGAAAAAUUAUAAAUUUCAAAAAAGUUAAUGGUGUUUAUUGGAUUUCUAUUGGCUAAAAGUUAUGGAAAAUUGUUAUUCACAAAAAACAAUGCAUUUACAAUCAAGGUUUUAUGUGUUUUCUUUAUAUGUGUGAAAAUUUUAUAAUAUGUAUCUUUUUGAAACGGAGAAAGUAUUUAUGAAAUGGAUAAAAGUUAGACAUAUUGAUAUACUCUUAUUGUUUCUAAAUAAUUGUCAUUUUGACAUUUAAUAAUCACUACAAGAAAACAUCAAGGAUUCUGAGGGAAAAAAUCGUAGGAAUUUCGUCGGAAUAUCGUUAUUCCGACGACAUACCGACGAAACACGUCGUCGGAAAUAAUUCCUCGGAAUUUAUUUUUUCCUCGGAAAUCCCUCGGAAUUUUCCGUCGGAAUUCCGAGGAAAUAAAUUUCCGAGGAAAUUCCGAGGAUCACUAGUUUGUCGGAAAUGUCCUCGGAAUAUACCGAGGGAGAACUUCGUCGGUAUAAUUCCUCGGAAGUUCAUCGAUCGAUGCGUGUUUGGACAUAUAUACAUCGAUCGAUAGGAGUAUACCGACGGACAUUUUCCUCGGUUUAUUCCGAGGAACUUUUCCCUCGGUAUAUACCGAGGGACCAGUUCCUCGGAAUUUUCCGAGGGACAGCUCCCUCGGAAUUUUCCGAGGGAGAUGUCCCUCGGAAUAUACCGAGGGAAAAGUUCCUCAGAAUAAACAGAGGAACCUGUCCCUCGGUAUAGCCCGAACGUUUUUUAAAAAACGCAUCGAUCGAUGCGUUUUUGAACAAAAACGCAUCGAUCGAUCAAGUGAAAAAUAUAAUUAAUUUCCUCGGAAUGUAAAAAAUAUUAAUUUUUUUAAAAAAAUAAAAUUUCUGAAAUUUAAAUUCGAAAAUAUGAAAUUAAAAGUAAAAUUGAAAUCAUAUUAAUUAAUAUUCAAAGUUUCACAAAUAAAAAUAAAACAUUCCGAGUUUGUGGAAAAAAAAAAACUACGGGUCUGGCACGUCCGGGAACACCUCGUUCGGGUACAUCCUCUGCAUCAUCUCCAUCAUUUGCUGGUUCAGCCUCCUCUGUGCCUCAUAGCCCGCCUGUUGAGCCGCCAUCUGGGUCUCUAACAAAGAUAUACGAUCAUCUUUGUCCUUCAACUGAGCCGUAAGUACUUCUGGAUCAACAAAGGGCGGUGGUGCAGAAGAAGGGGGAACCGACCGGGUGCGACGACCCAAACCGACCAAACGUCCCUUCUUCUUUGGAACCGACUGAAUAGAAAAAAGCCAAAUUUAGAAAUUUAAACCAAGAAAUAAAUGAAUUGAACUUUUAAAAAAAAAGAACUUACGGAUUCAACGAUUUCGUUGAUUCGAAACCGGGACAAGUUGGUCGAAGCCGUCGAAGCGUCAUCCUCGGUUUGAAGCUGAGACACUUCGUCUACCACCUGAGUUUGGACCAGGUCGACCACGUCCCUCACAAGACCGUCAUCAAUCUGGCCGGUCUUCUUGUUGGUAUACGCCCUCCUCAUUAGGGCGAGAUCAUCAACCGGCUCGCCAUCAUUUUCUUCCGCCUUGAAAAAAAACAUAAAUUAAAGAAACAUUAGAAAUUAGAAGAAAUGCACAAUAAAUUAAAAUUCUGAAACUCAAAUAAUUGAAGAAAAAGCGGUUGAACUUACCAUGCGAUCUCCGAGAGUGGCAAUAGAUUGAGCACCCAAGUUAUGCUUGUAGAUGCCCUUCCCUUUACGGUCGCUCCUGCGGUUGGUGGAGUUGGUGGAAGAAGUUUCUUUCGUCUCUUCCUUAUCCCAAUGCGCACACAACUCCUUCCAGACCGUGUCGUUCAUCGACUUUGGGACCUUUUAAUAAAAAAAAAAAGAAAAAGUUUAAUAAAUUAAAAAAUAGUUUAAUAAAUUAAAAAAUUGUUUAAUAAAUUAAAUCGAACCUUAUUGAUUUCCCACUUCUUCUUCCACUCGUGGAUCUGCUUCCCAUAGUUGUCCAUUACUUUAUGGACGAAGUGGUGAUAGAUAAAGAGCGUCUCAUCGGAAUUCCAGUUGAACUCUUGCUGAAAAAAAAACACAAUUAGUAGAAAAUUUAUAUUAAAGAUUAAAAAUAUAAGUAAAAAAUUAGAAUACUUACCGCAAACUGACGAAACCACAGAACCUGCUUGUCGGUUGGGAAGUGAGUGAAAGUCGGAUGUCCACUGUCGAGGGCCGAGUACAUCAUACGGUUGAUCCAUGCGCUGAUCCCGUUCCCGGAUCGGUUGAACCUUAUUAAAAGAACAAACGGUUAAUAAUGAAUCCAAAUUUAAAGAAAAAAAAAUGUUUAAUUACCAUGUUUGACCCCGUCCAUGUGGAUACGGAGUGAGAUACGGAAGAUGGUCACGACCGGGCUGUUGAACCAACUCCGCAACCCUCAUCACUCCCGGAGGACCCGGAGGAACAGGAGCGGAUGCAGCAGCGGGAGCGAGAGGAGCAUGAGCGGGUGCAGCAGAGGGAGAUGUAUGGUUGGAGCUGUGGGGCGAAGGGGAAUCCUGAAAAUGGCUGGAAUCCCGAGACUGGCUCCCCGUACCACCACGACCACGACGCUGUCGAGGCCGGGUCUGAUCAUCAUGAGACCUGUAAAUUAAAAAAAAAUAUUUAAUAAAUACAGAAAUAUAUAAAUUAAUUUUUUUUAUUAAAAAAAAAUCCCAAAUAAUUUAAUCACAGAAAAAGAUUUAUAUAUAUUAAAUUUUUUUAAUAAAUAUAUAAAAAUAGUUCUAAUAAACAAAAAAUAGUUUUAAUAAAUAAAAAUUGUUUAAUAAUUACAAAAAAAUAGUUUUAAUAAUAUAUAUAUAUGAAAAAUAUUUUUAAAUCCCAAAUAAUAGUAUUUAAUCACAAAAAAAGUUUUAUAGAUAUUUAAAAUGUUUUGUAAAAUCCAAAAAAUCGAAUUUAUAUAGAAAUUUUUUUUUGUAAAAUCCAAAAAAUCGAAUUUAUAUAGAAAAAUCGUUUUGUAAAAUACAAAAAUCGAUUUUAUAUACAAAAAUCGAUUUUAUAAAUACAAAAAAUAAAAAAAUUAUAAAAAAAUUCUAAAUCAAUUCAACAAAACAAAUUAUUCAACCAAAUCACAAUUCUAAACCUAUUAUACAACCAAAUCACAAUCCUAACCAAUCACCCUAACAAAAAUCUAUCAAAACUACACAAAAACCUAACAAAUAGAACCUAAGAGAGUGGGAUAGGGUCCUUACAUGAUUUGUGUAAGAGAAGAGGGAGAUCGCCGGAGAUAUCGUCGGAUUUCAGGGGGAAAUCGCCGGAGAGAAAGAGAGGAGUCGCGCAGAGGAAGAAGAGAGAAAUGGGGAAGAAGAAGGGGCUCGUGGUUAUAAAACCUAGGGUCCGACGGACAUUAUCCGUCGGAAUUCCGUCGGAAUUCUAAUUUCAAUUUUCGCGAAAUAUUUGCCCGGUAAAAUGAAAAUAUUCCGAGGAAAUUCCGACAGAUAGUAAAAUAUCCGUCGGAAUUUCCUCGGAAUAUUCCGAGGAAAUACCGAGGAACUAGUGUUUGGGGUUUCAAAACAUCAAUUUUUUUUGCCGUAUUUCAUUUCUUAUACAAUUGUAAUGCAUACCAUUGAGGAUUCUUUGUAUACAUGAGCAUAAACCAUGAAAUAACAAAUUUCAAAACUAAUUGAAAGUAUUCCCUUUACCGUUCAUUAAAAGGUAUAAGUGUUUCUCUUAUGUUGCGAGAUUUCGUUCAUACAAUCGGAAAAGUGUUAAUUAUACGGUAAGGAACAAAUUUUUGACUUCAUAAUGAACGUAAGACACUUAAUAAGGGUUAUAUAGGUGUUAUUCAAACCGCAAAACGUUGUUUUCGGUUUAAAAACCCUAUUUCCUCGGAAUUUCCUCGGAUUAUUCCGAGGGAACUCCGAGGAAACCCUCUUCUUCCUCGGAAUUUCCUCGGAAUAUUCCGAGGAAAUUCCGAGGAACUAGUGUUUGGGGUUUCAAAACGUAAUUUUUUUUAAAUAAACGCAUCGAUCGAUGCGUUUUUGAACAAAAACAAAUCGAUCGAUUACAAAGAUGGACCGGGCCGUAAGAUUGUGAUCGAUCGAUGAGAGUAUCCCAUCGAUCACUCGAGCUUAGCUCUCAAGUACGGCAAUCUGGGUUUUUCAUUAUGUCCUCAGCUUUUCUUGCCACGGCGGUGCAGAAGCUGCGCCGACCAAACAUGAUGCGGCGGAUCAGUGACAUUAUUUUUUUUUUUCUUUAUACCAGGGAAACGAGGGCUAGGACAAGACAGAGACAUAUAUUUACGAGUUAUUCUUGGAUUCACCACGUAGCGAUUCAUCUAAUUCUUAUUCGAUAUCUUUUAAAAAAGUAAACAAAAUAUUGAGAAUUUGCCAAAAUAUAUUAAGCUUUUAAAUUAAAUAAAAAUAGUAAUAAUUGCAAGAAAAAAAAUCGAUAUUAUUAAUGCCGUCAUGAAAACACUAAACCUUAAACCCUAAAUCAUAAACCCUAAACAUUUAGGUAAAUCUUAAACCAUUGGGUAAAUCCUAAACCCCAAAUAAUAUACAUUAAACACUAAAUCUUAAAAACACUAAACCAUAAAUUCAUAAACCCUAAAUACUAAACCCGAAGCCCUAAAUCCUAAACACUAAAACCUAAAAUCUUGGUAAAUCCAGAACCCUUGGGUAAAUCAUAAACCCUAGGGUUCAUGAUUUAUUCAAGGAUUUAGAUAUUAGGGUUAAGCCCAAGGGUUCAUGGUUUAUCUACGGAUUUAGGGUUUAGUGAUUAAGAUUUAAGAUUUAGUAUUUAGAGUUUGGUGUUUAGGAUUUAGUGUCUAGGACUUACCCAAAAGGUUUAGGAUUUACCUAAUGGUUUAGAAGUUAUGAUUUAGAGUUUAGAGUUUAGUAUUUUGGUGACGGUGUUAACAAUAUUGAAAAUAAUUUUCUUUUUUGCAAUUAUUACUACUUGUUAUUCAAUUUAAAAACAUAAUAUAUUUUGGCAAAUUCUCAUUUAUUUUGUUUCCUUUUUAUUAACUUUAAUAAAUAGUUAGAUUAUAUUUGUUAAUAUAUAACUACCCCAAAAUUAAAAACAAUUUCAUUAGUUUGAUAAUCAUCAUUAUCUAAAAAUAUUCUAUAUUAUGUUAUCCAAAAAUAUUUUACACCGUAAUAUGUUAUAAAUAAAUAUUAUAUAGUUUUAUGUAUAUAUGAAUGUUUACAAGUUUAUUUUACAUAAUAAAGGAUAUUUACUAAAAAAAACUUUAUCAAUUUUUUUAAUAAUUAAUUAAUUAUUACAUAAUUCAAAAUCAGAAAAUAAUUUAUUAUAAUGAUUUUUAAAUUGAUAGUAUAUUUAUUUACAAUUUUUGUAAAAUUAUUAAGCCCGCACUUGCGGGCAAGACACCUAGUUAAAACUAAAAACAUAACAGAACUAAAAAGAUGUACUUUGUGACGUAAAAAAAACUCUGCGGAUGUAGCUAAAUAAGAUCUUAUUAGUCUUACUCUCAAUGUGAACAUAUUAUCAAAAAUAAAUAAGAACAAACCUUAGAUUGUGAAACUUUAAAUUCACAUCUUCAAAGUGCCACGUAGAUAAUUAAUUAAAAAUUCACAUCUUCUUUAGGACCAAUCAAAGUAUCACGUAGAUAAUUAAUUAAAAAAAUAAAUUUAUUUUAAAAUAACUAAAAAAAAGAAUAACGCUAAUUUUAACGAUCAUGACGCCGCCAGCUAACCUAUAAACCCUAAAUUUUAAACCCUAAACUUUAAAUCCUAAACCCAAACCCUACACCCUAAACUCAAAUCCUAGACCUUAAACUCUAAUUGUAUACCCCUAAACUCAAACUGUAUACCCUAAAUCCAAAAUCUAAACCCUAAACCUAAACAAUAUACCCUAAACCUAAAUCCUAGACCUUAAACCCAAACCCUAUAGCGUCUAGGUUAAGGUUUGGGUUUAGGGUAUAUGGUUUGGGUUUUAAGUCUAGGAUUUGGGUUUAGGGUAUACGGUUUGGGUUUAGGGUCUAGGAUUUGGUUUAGGGUAUAGCGUUUGGAUUUAAUGUUUACGGUUUGGGUUUAGGGUAUGAGAUUUGGGUUUAAAGUAUAUGGUUUGGGUUUAGGGUCUAGGAUUUGAGUUUAGGUUAUAGGGGUUGGGUUUAGGAUUUAAGGUUUAGGGUUUUGAAUUUAAAAUUUAUGAGGUGUUAUUAGUUUAUAUAUUUUGAUUGAUUUAGAAAUUCAUAUAGUAUUUAUAAAU